rnacentral:tRNA from 1 species
GGGCCUGUAGCUCAGCCUGGUAGAGCAUCGGCCUCUUAAGCCGGGUGUCGCGGGUUCGAAUCCCGUCGGGCCCA